CCGAAAAUCUUCGUGCGCUUGCGCCCCCUGAGAUGUUUUAACGGUAGAGUUGAGAACUUAUUGCCGAACAUUAGAGAGUUACCGAUGUCGACAUGAUCCUGGCUGCAUUCACCUUCCGAGUAACACUGUCUUCGAAAUGCAAAACACAGUGUUCGUACGCACAGGGAAAACCUGAAAAACUGGGAAAACUCAGGGAGUUUUUUAUAGCAGAGAGAAGUCAGGGAAUUUCGAAAAUAGGACUGGAAUUUUAAGUUUCUUGGAGAAAUUCGUUCUUAUACGUACAUUACUUGAUAUCAAACCUACUUUCUUUUUUUUCUUACUGAAAAUCGCUGGCUGUUGUUUGUAAAUUAGUAGUCGGACAGUAAAUUAAUUACUAGGUAAUAUUAAAGGCUGGAACACCUCGAAAAGUCAGGGAAUUUCGGGUUCCAAAAAGCGUACAAACCCUGAAAACAGUGAUUUAAUUGAAGUAUAGGUACCCGAGAGCAGAAUGUAUACAUAGAUCAUAAAUAAUAAUAGAUCAGAUGUAAUAAUGAUGCUGAGACCAAGAAAAGAAAUAGUGAGCAAGCGUCCAGCAGGUAUACGAGCGGUUUUUUGAAGUUUUCAACCAGUUUUUUGAAGAGUCUGAACCAGUUUUUUGAAGUUUUGAACCAGUUCUUUGAAGAUCUGAAGGGCAACUCUAUGGACCAGGAAUCGCCGAUUAGCAUAUUAAUGCGAUGGAAAUUGCGACCUGCACCUUUCCGGCCGCACGACAAAUGCAUACUGGAGACGCCUCGGUGAAAUGCUUGUACCAGGCAUAAUAUAACAUGUAUCCUAAUAAAAAAAUUCGAGAAGACUGUUGAAAUACAU
rnacentral:lncRNA from 1 species